GGACAGAUGGCUGAGCUGGUCUAAGGCGCACGACUGGAAAUCGUGUAAGCGUUAGUAGCGCUUCGAGGGUUCGAAUCCCUCUCUGUCCGCCA
rnacentral:tRNA from 2 species